rnacentral:rRNA from 1 species
GGGGGGGGGGGGGGGGGUGGCGGGGGGGGGGGGGUCGAGCGGAGGGACGGGAAGCUUGCGUCUCUGGUGUUAGCGGCGGACGGGUGAGUGACACGGGGAUAACCUACCUAUAAGACUGGGAGACCUUCGGGAAACCGGAGCUAAUACCGGAUACUACUUUGAACCGCCUGGUUCCAACGUAACAGCCGGUCUUGCUGUCACUUAUAGAUGGAGCCGCGCUGCAUUAGCUAGUUGGUAAGGUAACGGCUUACCAAGGCAACGAUGCAUAGCCGACCUGAGAGGGUGAUCGGCCACACUGGAACUGAGACACGGUCCAGACUCCUACGGGAGGCAGCAGUAGGGAAUCUUCCGCAAUGGGCGAAAGCCUGACGGAGCAACGCCGCGUGAGUGAUGAAGGUCUUCGGAUCGUAAAACUCUGUUAUUAGGGAAGAACAUAUGUGUAAGUAACUGUGCACAUCUUGACGGUACCUAAUCAGAAAGCCACGGCUAACUACGUG